rnacentral:rRNA from 1 species
UACGGAGGGUGCAAGCGUUAAUCGGAAUUACUGGGCGUAAAGCGUGCGCAGGCGGUUUGUUAAGUCUGCUGUGAAAUCCCCGAGCUCAACUUGGGAAUUGCAGUGGAUACUGGCAGGCUGGAGUACGGUAGAGGAAGGUGGAAUUCCCGGUGUAGCAGUGAAAUACGUAGAUAUCAUUUGGAACGCCAAUGGUGAAAACAGGUAGCUGGGAGUGUGCUGACGCUGAGACACGAAAGCCAGGGGAGCGAACGGG